rfam:Triticum aestivum genome assembly, contig: Triticum_aestivum_CS42_TGACv1_scaffold_499534_6BL
CAAAUACUCCCUCCGUCUGGAAAUACUUGUCAUCAAAAUGGAUAAAAGCAAAUGUAUCUAGACGUAUUUUAGUUUUAGAUACAUCUAUUUUUAUCCAUUUUGAUGACAAGUAUUUUCGGACGGAGGGAGUAUUCA